UUCAAUAGAGCACUGAAGUUUUGUAUACAUCAAUACUUUGUUCUUAUUUUCUGCGUUUUACUGGGAAGGAACAAACUUUGCAGGGGCAAAAUAUUGAACAGCACAGAAAAGCCCUGCCAAUUUAAUUGUUCUUUUGCCUUUUUUGCUUGCAACAAUGUUGUUGAUUUUACUGUCUGGCUAUAAGGUUCCGAGCUGUACUCAUAUUGUUUUGCCUUUUGUUUUUAAUUUUUGGACGGAGUUUCAACCAUUAUUUGGAUGGUUACUGGAGCUUUAUAUUUGAAUUAUAUUGGCCGAUUGGGUUGAAGAUUGAUAAUGGUUGAAAAUAAUUAACAAAAAAUAGAAAAUUUUGCGUGUUGUCAAUCAAAAAGAUCUUGAACAAGUUUGCUCUUUUGAAUUUUCUCCUAUUAAGGUAAGAACUCUUAGGGUCAAAAAGUUGGUUUUGUCUGUGCUGAAAGGACGGGAAAAAAAAUUAAUAAAUCAUCUGGAAGUAAUGCGAUUCAGAAAAUACAAUAUAUGGGAAGUAAUUCGACAGUUAUCUUAUAUUUGGCGGGUAUGGAAGCUUUGUAGAGUCAAUGUUAAGAAUUAUGAGAUACAUGUCUGGAUAAUAGAAGGCAGCUUAGAAUGAGGCACAAUGAGUUGGAGGCAUAGAAUCCAGAAUGUCCCUUCUCUUAUGAUAAAAGAAAAGGCAGCUAGGGGAUCAUUGAUCUUUUCUAGACGUAAAUAGUUUUAUCCUCAUCAAAUCUGCACCUAUCAAGUUGAAAAAGUACUUUUGGUUUUUGGAGGAGGUAAGGAAUAAUGACACACUAAUAAUUGUUGGUGAAACAGGCAGCGGAAAGACGACAUAAUUGCCCCAGUAUCUUAAUAAUGGUCGGUUUUGCUGCAAUGGUGGGAUCAUUGGGAUAACUCGGCCUAGACGUGUUGCUGCUGUAACUGUUGUAAAACGGGUCGCUGAAGAAUGUGGAGUUUCAAUGGUCCAAGUAGUUGGAUAUGCCAUUAGAUUUGAGGAUGUGACUUCCAGCUCAACAAGGAUCAAAUACAUGACAGACGGAUUGCUAUUCAGACUGUACAAAAGACGAGGUCUCAACAUGUCAGGGACGCAGUAAAUAUUGAUCAUAAAGAUGCCAACAAUGGCAUGAUGUUGGAAAAACACCAUGGUCUCGAAGUUGCCAGUAUCAGGGAGCAGUGCUGAGGCAAGAAAUUAUCUCCACUGAAGAUUAUUAUUAUGUCUGCCAGUCUGGAUGCACGGGUUUUCCUGAGUACUUUGGUGGUGCAAGAGCUGUGCACGUGCAGGGUGGCAAGAUCCUGUUGAUAUACUCUAUACUCGUAAACCUGAGACUGAUUAUGUGGAUGCAACUUUGAUCACCAUAUUUCAGAUACAUUUGGAGGAAGGUCCUGGCGAUAUACUUGUGUUCUUGACUGGCCAAGAAGAAAUAGAAUCUGUGGAGAGGCUUGUACAUGAGUGUCUUCCACAAUUAUCCGGAUGCAAACGAAAGCUUUUGACCUUUCCAAUAUUUUCGUCUCUUCCUUCAGAGAAACAAAUGAGAGUUUUCAAGCCUGCCCUAGUUGGGUUCCAAAAGGAACUGUCCAGUUUUUGUUGUUCAUGAACAUUCUCAUGGGACAAAUACUAUACAGGAAAAAGGUUUCUCGAUUUUGUCAGGAAGUGUUGAGUGUUGUCGUCCACCU